rnacentral:rRNA from 1 species
GCCCUUCGGUUGAUCCUGCCGGAGGCUAUUGCUAUUGGAGUUCGACUUAGCCAUGCUAGUCGCACGGGUUUAGACCCGUGGCGAAAAGCUCAGUAACACGUGGCCAAACUACCCUGUGGAUGAGAAUAAUCUCGGGAAACUGAGGCUAAUUCUCAAUAGGGCUUCCAUCCUGGAAUGGAGGAAGUCUUAAACGCUCAGGCGCCACAGGAUGUGGCUGCGGCCGAUUAGGUAGACGGUGGGGUAACGGCCCACCGUGCCAGUAAUCGGUACGGGUGAUGAGAGUCAGAGCCCGGAGACGGUAUCUGAGACAAGAUACCGGGCCCUACGGGGCGCAGCAGGCGCGAAACCUUUACACUGCACGACAGUGCGAUAGGGGGACUCCAAGUGCGAGGGCAUAAAGUCCUCGCUCUUCUCGACCGUAAGGAGGUCGAAGAAUAAGGGCUGGGCAAGACCGGUGCCAGCCGCCGCGGUAAUACCGGCAGCCCGAGUGAUGGCCAAUCUUAUUGGGCCUAAAGCGUCCGUAGCCGGCCGGACAAGUCUGUUGGGAAAUCCACGUGCUCAACGCGUGGGCGUCCAGCGGAAACUGUCCGGCUUGGGGCCGGAGGACUCGAGGGGUACGUUCGGGGUAGGAGUGAAAUCCCGUAAUCCUGAACGGACCAUCGGUGGCGAAAGCGCCUCGAGAGGACGGACCCGACGGUGAGGGACGAAAGCCAGGGUCUCGAACCGGAUUAGAUACCCGGGUAGUCCUGGCCGUAAACGAUGCUCGCUA